UACGUAGGGCGCAAGCGUUGUCCGGAAUUAUUGGGCGUAAAGAGCUCGUAGGUGGCGUGUCGCGUCUGCCGUGAAAGCCCAUGGCUUAACUGUGGGUCUGCGGUGGAUACGGGCAGGCUGGAGGCUGGUAGGGGCAAGCGGAAUUCCUGGUGUAGCGGUGAAAUGCGCAGAUAUCAGGAGGAACACCGGUGGCGAAGGCGGCUUGCUGGGCCAGUUCUGACGCUGGAGGAGCGAAAGCGUGGGGAGCGAACAGG
rnacentral:rRNA from 1 species